UUUUUUGUUUUUUUGUUCUAUCUAUCUAUCACUACACAAUUUAAUCUUGCAAGUAACCAAUGAGGGAUUGACAACCCCUUGUUUGCGUUGGGUGCAAGGAUUUGUUAUUUUGUGUGCAACUGCUACUAACGAGGUGUUGCAUGGUUCUCCUACUGGAUUCAUAACCUUUGUUCUUAACUGAGGGAAAUACUUAUCUCUACUAUACUGCAUCAUCCCCUCCUCUUCGAGGAAAUCCCAACGCUGCUCACAAGUAGCAGGCUUGUUUCUCGAAUAAAUAGCAUAUUGUGGGUAAACAAAUUACAAUGGGGCAAUUGAUAGAAAAGCACAUAGUUAUGACGUAUUCAUGGCAAUGAUCAUGUAUAUAGGCACCAUGUCCAUGACAAGUAGACCGACUCCUUCCUGCAUCAACUACUAUUACUCCACCAAUCAACCGCUAUCCAGCAUGCAUCUAUGGUAUUAAGUUCAUGACAAACAAAGUAACGCCUUAAGCAAGAUGACAUGAUGUAGACAAAGUAAAAUUAAGCAAUAUGAUUAAACCCCAUCGUUUUACCCUUAAUAUAAACAAUGAAAUGUAUGCCUCGCUACCCCUUCUAUCACUGUGUGAGGACACCGCAAGAUUGAACCCAUUACAAAGCACAUCUCCCGUUGAAGAUAAAUCAAUCUAGUUGGCCAAACCAAAUGGACAAGAGAUACAAAGCUAUAACAAUCAUGCAUAAAAAAGUUCAAAAAAGACUCAAUUACUUUCAAUUAAUAAUGUGAUCAUAAACCCACAAUCCAUCGGAUCCCAACAAACACAUCGCAAAAGAAUAUUACAUCGGAUAGAACUCCAAGAAGAUUGAGGAGAACAUUGUAUUGAAGAUCGAAGAGAGAGAGAGAAGAAUCGAUCUAGAUACUAGCAAUGGACCCAUAGGUCUAAGGUGAACUACUCACACAUCAACAAAAGGCAUCAAGGAUGAUGUAGAAGCCUUUCGUGAUAGAUUCCCCCUCCGGCAGAGUAUCGGAAAGACCUCCACAUGGGAUCACGGAAGAACGGAAGCUUGUGUCGGCGGAAAGAGUGUUUCGGGUGGUUCUCUGUUGGUUUGGGAAUAUUUGUGAAUUUAUAGAGGGGAAAUUAGGUCAAAUGGAGCUGCGUGAGACCCACAAGCUCAAGGGGCAGCGCCUACCCCCCUCGGGCGCACCCUAUAAGCUCAUGGCUCUCCCGUAGGUCUUAUGGCCUCCUCCCGAACCUUCUAGGGUCCCUUCUGGUCGAGAAAAAUCACCGUAAAGUUUAAACGUGUUUGGACUUCAUUUGGUAUUAAUUUUUCAGAAAAGCCAAAAACAAGCAAAAAAAUAGGAACUUGCACUGGCAUGGGUUAAUAGGUCAGUCCAAUAAAAUGAUAUAAAAUAGCAUAAUAAUGCAUAUAAAGCAUCCAAGAUUGAUAAUAUAAUAGCAUGAAACAAUCAAAAAUUAUAGAUACGUUGAAGACGUAUCAGCACCCCCAAGCUUAAUUCCUGCUCGUCCUUGAGUAGGUAAAUGAUAAAAACAGAAAUUUUGAUGUUGAAUGCUACCUAACAAAUGUUACCUCUUAAAGGUAUAAAUAUUGAGAAACGAUGAAGUAACAAUAUCAACAUAAUAAUAUCCAUGAAUAUAAGAAGAAUAAUCAUUACUUUUUCAAAAUAUACGAUCCUUAACGAAUGUUAUCAAUACUCAUUUUAUCAUGUUAGCAUGGCAUGACCCCAUCUUCACCGCAUAAAUAUAAAUCAUGUGCGCUGCUACUUGUGAAAUCCGCUAAGUGCAAAUUAAGAGAACAUUCAUCCAUAUUAGUAAAGCCUAGCACAUCACAUAAAGACUUUGGUAUUGUGGAAACACUAGCACCCAAAUCAGAUAAAGCAUUGCACUCAUAAUUUUUAAUUUUAACUUUAAUGGUAGGUUCCCACUCAUCAUUUAAUUUCCUAGGUAUUGAAACUUCCAAUGUAGCUUUUCUUCUAAAGCUUUCAUCAUCGCUUCUACGAUAUGUUUAGUAAAAACCUUAUUUAGUUCAUAAGCAUUGGGUGAAUUUAGCAUAGAUUGCAAUAAGGAAAUACACUCAAUUAAAGAACAAAUAUAAUAAUUAAAAUCCUUGAAAUCCGAAGAAGUGGGCACAUCACUAUUUAAAGUUUUAACCUCUCCAAAGCCACUUUUAUCAAAAAAAAUCAUUAAGAUUUUCACCCUCCGAACAAUGGGGAUGCCUUCUAGCUAAAGUUGACUCUUCUUUAGUCCCCUUUUCAUAAAGUUUUAUAUUACUAAAAAAAAUCAAUGGGUGUAAUACCAAUCAUUUUAAUAUCUUCAUCAUGGCCAAAUGCUAAAUACUCCCGCUUAGCUGCCAUCUUGUUUACUAGUGUAGUUUGCGCAUCGAAUUUUUUCCUAGCUAAUUUUCAGUAAGAGCAAGCUGAGAUUGAAGAUCGGCAAAUUCUUCAUUAACAUCAUUGAGUUGUUUUCCAAUAACAUCUAAUAAGGUAGAGUGUUACUUAAGCUCAUCAGUAAAAAAAUGUUGUGCUCAUAUUGCAUAAACAUGAAGUCCUUAGUUUUUUUUGCAAUUUCAACCCACCUUUUAUGAAAAGAGAUAUCAUAGUAAUUUUCUCGAGACAUUGCGAGAAAGCAAGCAAACAAGCAAAAAGGCAAAUGGAAAAUAUUUUUGUGUUUUUUUGAAAAUGUUUUAGAAGUGGGGGAGAUGAAAACGAGAAGAAAAUAGCAAAUAAAAGUAAAUACAAGGAGAUGCAAGUUUAUGGAUGGUACUUAAUAGAUGUUGAUGAUGUCUCUCCGUUAACGGCGACAGAAAUUCUUCUUGCUACUUGUGAGCUGCGCAAGGAUUUCCUCGAAGAGGAGAGGAUGAUUCAGUAUAGUAGAGAUAAGUAUUUCCCUCACUUAAGAACCAAGGUUAUAAAUCCAAUAGGAGAACCACGCAACACCUUGUUAGCACUACCUACAAACAAAACAACAAAUACUUGCACCCAACGCAAACAAGGGGUUGUCAAUCCCUUGGCGGUUAAUUGCAAGGAUCAAAUUUCGUAAUGAUAGAUAGAUAAUCAAAAACACAAAAUAAAAUAAAGGUAAAUAAAUUGCAGCAAGGAAUUUUUGGAUUUUAACAUAUGAUUAAAAUAGACCCGGGGGCAUAGUUUUCACUAGAGGCUUCUCUCUUGAACAUACAUACGGUGGGUAAACAAAUUAUUGUUGGGCAAUUGAUACAAAAGCCAAUAAUCAUGACGAUAUCCAAGGCAAUGAUCAUGUAUAUAGGCAUCACGUUUGAGACAAGUAGACCGACUCCUGCCUGCAUCUACAACUAUUACUCCACACAUCGACCGCUGUCCAGCAUGCAUCUAGAGUAUUAAGUUCAUAAAGAAUAGAGUAACACCUUAAGCAAGAUGACAUGAUGUAGACAAAGUAAAUCCAAUCAAUAUUAAUAAACCCCAUCUUUCUAUCCUUAAUGGCAACUAUACAAGUACUUGUCAUGUCCCUUUCUGUCACUGGGAUUGAUCAACGCAAGAUCGAACCCAUCACAAAGGACAUCUCCCAUUACAAGAUAAAUCGAUCUAUUUGGCCAAACCAAACGAAUAAAUCAGAGACAAAUACAAAUCUAUAACAAUCAUGCAUAAAAGAGUUCAGAGAAGACUCAAAUAAUAUUUAUGGAUAAUUUGAUCAUAAACAAACAAUUCAUUGGAUCCGAACAAACACACUGCAAAAAAGGAUUACAUCGAAUAGAUCCCCAAGAACAUCAAGGAGUACAUUGUAUUGAAGAUCAAAUAGAGAGAAGAAGCCAUGUACCUACUAGCUAUGGACCUAUAGGUCUAUGGUAAACUACUCACACAUCAUCGGAGGGGCAGCAAGGUUGAUGUAGAAGCCCUCUGUGAUCAAUUCCCCCUCCGGCGGAGUGUCGAAAAGGUCUCCAGAUGGGAUCUUGCGAGAACAGAAACUUGUGGCAGCGAAAAAACUAUUUUGGGUGGCUCUCUGAUGUAUGAGGAAUAUUUGAGAAUUUAUAGAGGCGGAAUUAGGUCAAGAGGUGCCACGAGGGACCCACAAGCCUAGGGGAGCUGCACCCCCUGCCCCCGGGGUGCGCCUCCCGAGCUUGUCGCUCCCUCACGGCUCAUCGGGUCUUCUCCCGAACCUUCUAGGGUCCCUUCUGGUCCAGAAAAAAUAAUCCAAAGUUUUUUCUCUGUUUGGACUCUGUUUGAUAUUGAUUUCCUGUAAAGCCAAAAACAAGCAAAAACAGCAACUGGCACUGGGCAAGGUUAAUAGGUUAGUCCCAAAAAGAAUGAUAUAUAAUUGCAUAAUAAACAUCCAAGAUUGAUAAUAAUAACAUGGAACAACAAAAAAUUAUAGAUGCGUUGGAGAAGUAUCAAGCACCUUGGUGUCAAACCAGGCAAUUGGAUCGUACUUCUAAUGCGCUUUAGCAUUUUCAGCCCCACGCAAUACAUGAGUGUGGGUCAUGGAUAUAGCAAUAUAGGUGGAAUACAAUGCGGUGGUACAGAUCAAUAAGGGAAGUCAAAAAGGAAGAAAGUCUCGCAUCAACACGGCUGGAAAAUUGCGGAAAGGUAGUGAUACAUCUCCAUCGUAUCUACUUUUCCAAACUCUCGUGCCCUUGUUUUGGACUCUAAUUUGCGUGAUUUGAAUGGAACUAACCCGGUCUGACGAUGUUUUCAGCAGAAUUGCCUUGGUGUUAUUUUUGUGCAGAAAUAAAAGUUCUCAGAAUGACCUGAAAUUUUACAGAGAAUAUUUUUGGAAUAUAUAAAAAUAUUGGCAAAAGAAUCAACCAGAGGGGGUCCACCCAUUGGCCACAAACCUGGGGCGCCCCCCACCCUGGGGCAAGCCUAGGUGGCUUGUGGGCCCUCUGGAGCUCCUCCAACCCUAACUCCAACUAUAUAAGUACCUAUUCGCGGAGAAAAAAAUCAGGGAGAAGGAUUCAUUGCAUUUUACGAUAUGGAGCCGAUGCCACCUCCCGUUCUUCAUCGGGAGGGCUGAUCUAGAGUCUGUUCCAGGCUCCGGAGAGGGGGAUUCGUCGCCAUCAUCAUCACCAGCCUUCCUCCAUCACCAAUUUCAUGAUGCUCAUCAUUGUGCGUGAGUAAUUCCAUCGUAGGCUUGGUGGACGGUGAUGGGUUGGAUGAAAUUUAUCAUGUAAUAGAGUUAGUUUUGUUAGGGUUUGAUCCCUAGUGUCCACUAUGUUCUGAGAUUGAUGUUGCUAUGACUUUGCUAUGCUUAAUGCUUGUCACUAGGGCCCGAGUGCCAUGAUUUUAGAUCUGAACCUAUUAUAUUUUCAUGAAUAUAUUUUUGUUCUUGAUCCUAUCUUGAAAGUUGUAGACAUCUAUUACGAAUUAUGAUCCGCAUACCCCAAGGUGACAAUAAUUGUGAUUCUUUCCGGUGAUUACUGUAGUUUGAGGAGUUCAUGUAUUCACUAAGUGCUAAUGCUUUGGUCCGGUUCUCUAUUAAAAGGAGGCCUUAAUAUCCCUUAGUUUCCAUUAGGACCCCACUGCCAUGGGAGGGUAGGACAAAAGAUGUCAUGCAAGUUCUUUUCCAUAAGCAUGUAUGACUAUAUACGGAAUACAUGCCUACAUUAUAUUGAUGAAUUGGAGCUAGUUCUGGGUCACCUUAGGUUAUGACUACUACAUGAUGAAUAUCAUCUGACACAAUUAUCAUUGCCGAUCAAUUGCCUACGAACUUUUCACACAUUGAUCUUCGCUAAGUUACUUUCGUUGCUACUGUUGUUACAAUCACUACAAAACUGCUACUAUUACUUUUGCCACCGUUACCGUUACUUCCAUAUUACUUUGCUACUAAAUAAUUUGCUACAGAUAUUAAGUAUUUCAAGUGUGGUUUAAUUGAAAACUCAGCUGCUAAUACUUGAAUAUUCUUGGCUCCCCUAGUGUCGAAUCAAUAAAUUUGGGUUGAAUACUCUACCCUCGAAAACUGUUGCGAUCCCUAUACUUAUGGGUUAUCAGGGAGGAGUGUGUAUAAUCCAUGGACUCACAUUAGUCAUAAAGAAAUCAUAUAGUUAUUAUGAAAGUCAAUUAGCCCUCAAAGCAAAGUACUACUCGCAUGCCCCUAUGGAAUAGGUUGGUAGGAGUUAAACAUUGCGCGCAUCCAAUUAUAACAGCACUCAAGGACUUCAAUCAGAAUACAAAUGCUCAAACCUCCCCACCAUGCCAUGACCAACAAUUAGAUAUUUAUACUAACCAAUGAUCAUGAACCAAUAUCCUUUCAUAUACGACAUCAAUAUAAUUAAACCAAACACUUCAUAUUUAGUGAUCUACAUGCAAGUUUUUAUUAUAUCCCCCUUGAUAACCUAUCAUUCUUGGACUAAUAUUAUAACACGUGCACAUUAUGAAAUACUAUUCAUAGACUGUAAAAAAGAUUUAAGUGAAGCAUGAGAGUGCAACCAUUUCUAUAAAAUAUAACCACUGCAUGCUCUAAAAGAUAUAAGUGAAGCGCUAGAGCAACUGUCUAGCUCCAAAGAUAUAAGUGAAGCACAUAGAGUAUUCUAAAAAAUCACGAUAAAUAUGUGUCCCUCUCAAAAGGUGUGUCCAGCAAACAAUGAUUAUGGCAAACUAAAAGGAAAACAAAGCAAAAACUAUGGCGCAAAAUGCUCCGAGCAAAACUCAUAUCAUGUGAUGAAUAAAAUGUAGCUCCAAGUAACAUACCAAUAGAUUGUAGACGAAAGACGGGAUGCCAUCCUGGGCAUCCCCAAGCUUAGACGCUUGGGUCUUCCUUGAAUAUUACCUUGGGGUGCAUUGGGCAUCCCCAAGCUUAGGGUCUUGCUGCUACUUAUUCCUUCAUCCAUGAUGAUCUCCCAAAACUUGAAAACUUUAGCACACAAAACUCAACAGAAACCUCAUGAGAUCCAUAGUAUAAUAGACAAAUCAUAAACUUUGUGUACUGUUAUAAACUCAUUCAUAAUUUAUUGUUGCAUAAUACCUACUAUAUUCUAACUUCUCUGUGACUUAUACCCCCCCGAUAUAAUCCAUAGCAUCAUUAAAACAAGCACACUAUGCAAUAGAAAAUAGAAUCUGUCUAAAACAGAACAGUCUAUAAUGAUCUGAACAAAAACUAUACUUCUUUAACUCCAAAAAUUCUGAAAAAUUAGGACAAUGUGGGAAAUUUGUAUAUCAAUUAUUUUUUAAAAAAUUCAGGAUUUCAUCACGUUCCAGUGAAUUAUAGUAAUUCCAGCACUGGGAGCAAAAGUUUCUGUUUUUUCACGGAAUCAAGUCAACUAUUAUCCAAAUCAUCCCAAAGGAUUUACGUGGCACAAACACUAACAUAAAAACACAAUCAUUAUAGUAGAAAUAAUCAUGUCAACACACAAAACAGAAAUAAAAAGCAAAAUUAUAACUAUUGGGUUGCCUCCCAAAAAGCUCUUUCUUUAUAGCCAUUAAGAUAGGCUUGAGAUUUCAAUGAUGCUCGCAUGAAAGACAAGAAUUGAAGCAUAAAGAGAGCAUCAUAAAACAUGUGAAUCCACAUUUAAGUCUAAUAUACUUCGUAUGCAUAGGCAUUUUGUAGGAAAACAAAUUAUCAAGACAAGCAAUAUCUAGCAUAUGCAAAUAGGAAGAAUGAAACAUUAAUAAUUUCAACGCAAAGAGAGGUAAUUUACUGACGUGAAGAUUUUUAUUACCAUCUCUGCCUCUCUCUCUCUCAAAAUAAUUACAUGUAGGAUCAUAUUAAAAUUCAACAAUAUAGCUAUCAGAUAACAUAUUCUCUACAUGAUCUACAUGCAUGCAAAGUUUAUACUCUUCCAAAAUAGUGGGAUUAACAUCAACUAAAGUCAUGACCUCUCCAAACCCACUUUUAUCCAGAAAAAUCAUAAGAUUGAACACUCUCCGAAUAUGUGGGAUUAUUUUGACCUAAAUUUGACACUCUUCCAAACCCACUUUCAAUAUUAUUGCAAACAUUAUUAUCAAUAACAUAUUCAUCAUGGGGCUUAAAUAAAUUUUCAAGAUCAUAAGAAGAAUCACCCCAAUCAUGCUCAUUACAAUGAGUAGUGGACAUAACAAAAUCAUCAUCCCUAAGCUUGUAGUUUUGCAUAAUAUUAGCACAAUUGAUAUUAAUAGAAUUUAUAAUUAUGUUAUUGCAAUCAUGAUUUUCAUUCAAGGAGCCAUCAUGAAUCAUUUUAUAAAUUUCUUAUUUUAACACUUCAUCACAAUUUUCAGAUUCACGAUUUUCAAGCAAAACGUCAUAAAGAUAAUCAAGUGCACUCAACUCACUAGCAAUUGGUUCAUCAUAAUUGUAUUAUUUUUUUUGAACAGAUUAGCAAGUGGAUGAGGAUCCAUAUCAAUAUUUUUUAGCAAGCAGAGUGCAAGCAAAUAGAAGGCACAUGGCAACACAAGCAAAGAUGGCACACAAAAUAUUUUUGGUAUUUUUGAAUUUUUUUUUAGAGAAUUAGAGGGAGAUGAAAAAGAGAGGAGAAUAAAAAGGCAAAUGAAAAGUAGAACAAGUAGAUGAUAGUUUGAGUGAAGUUACUUGUAGUGAUUUGAUGAUGUCUCCCCGGCAACGGCGCCAGAAAUUAUUUCUGCUACAUGUGAGUUGCUUUGGGAUUUUCCCCAAAGAGAAAGGGUGAAGCAAUACAGUAGAGAUAAGUAUUUUCCUCAGUGAUAACCAAGGUUUAUCGAACCAAAAGGAGAACCACACAAAUCCUAGUGAACAGCACCUGCAUAUACAAAAGCAAAUACUUGCACCCAACACGGGCAAGAGAGUUGUCAAUCCCCUUGAGCUCAUUACUUGCAAGGAUCAAAUCUUGUAUAUGUAGAUAGAUAAAUUUCAAAACAAAAUAAAAGUAAAUAAAUUAACAAGGUAUUUUUGGUUUUUAUAAUAUGAUUAAAGUAGACCCGGAGGCCAUAGUUUUCACUAGAGGCUUCUCUCUCUCGAAACAAUAGCAUACGCUGGGUAAACAAAUUACUGUUGGGCAACUGAUAGAAAAGCACAUAGUUAUGACGUAUUCAUGGCAAUGGUCAUGUAUAUAGGCAUCACCUUCAUGACAAGUAGAUCGACUCCUGCCUUCAUCUACUACUAUUACUCCACCAAUCGACCACUAUCCAGCAUGCAUCUAUGGUAUUAAGUUCAUGACAAACAGAGUAACGCCUUAAGCAAGAUGACAUGAUCUAGACAAAGUAAACUCAAGCAAUAUAAUUAAACCCCAUCGGUUUACCCUUAAUAGUACCAAUACAAUACGUGCCUCACUACCUCUUCUGUUAUUGGGUGAGUACACCGCAAGAUUUAACCCAUUACAGAGCACCUCUCCCACUGAAGAUAAAUCAAUCUAGUUGGCCAAACCAAACGGAUAGAUCAGAGAAAUACAAAGAUAUAACAAUCAUGCAUAAUAAAGUUCAGAAGCCUCAAUUACUUUCAAUGAAUAAUCUGAUCAUAAACCCACAAUUCAUUGGAUCCCAAUAAACAUAGCGCAAAAAUAUUACAUCGGAUAGAACUCUAAGAAGAUCAAGGAGAACAUUGUAUUGAAGAUCAAAGAGAGAAAAGAAGCCAUCUAGCUACUAGCUAUGGACCCGUAGGUCUGUGGUGCUCAUGCAUCAUCAAAAGGCAGCAAGGAUGAUGUAGAGCCCUCCGUGAUCGAUUCCCCCUUUGGUAGAGUACCGGAAAAGGCCUCCAGAUGGGAUUGCGGAAGAACAGAAGCUUGCGGCAGUGGAAAAAAUGUUUCGGGUGGCUCUCUGUUGGUUUUGGAAUAUUUGUGAAUUUAUAGAGGUGAAAUUAGGUCAAAUGGAGCUUCGUGGGACCCACAAGCUCAGGGGCGUGCCUACCCCCUGGGUGCGCCCUGUGAGCUUGUCGUUCUCCCUUAGGUCUUCUGGCCUCCUCCUGAACCUUACAGGGUCACUUCUAGUCCAGAAAAAAUCACCGUAAAGUUUCAUCGUGUUUGGACUUCAUUUGGUACUGAUUUUUUGAAAAGCCAAAAACAAGCAAAAAAACAAGAGCUGACACUGGACACUGGAUUAAUAGGUUAGUCCUAAAAAAUAAUAUAAAAUAACAUAUGAAGCAUCCAAAAUUGAUAAUAUAAUAGCACAAAACAAUCAAAAAUUAUAGAUAUGUUGGAGACGUAUCAGUUAGCACCAAGACUACUAUAACACACUACACAAUAGUACACAUGGAUCAUGAAGUUUAACACAACACCAUGGAUCUUCAAGCUCAAAGCAUACCAUGAACUUUAACACACUACCACACCUACAUAUCAAUCAUACUUGCAAACUAGCAUACUGCACAUGUUCUGAUUCACAAGCUAGUAUAACAUGGAAAACAGCAUGAACAUGAUGAUACAACUCAAACGUAUCUAUAACUUUUGUUUAUUCCAUGCCAUAUUUUUGUUAAAUUAGUAUACUUUUGGCACCUAUUUAAAUCAAUUUAUAUUAUUUUUAUGGAAUAACCUAUUAACUCAUUGCCCAAUAUCAGUUGUUGUUUUCUAUUGUUUUUGGACUUUGCACAAAAAUAAUUUUUGUCAGACUCAAAAAAAUCAGUGCAAUAUUCAAGUCCAGAAGCUUCCGAGGAGCACUGACAUAGGCCAUGGGUACACACAGGGGUCCACGCCCUUCCCGUGACAAGCAAACGAGGGGGGUUGAUUCGUUCGUUGGGAGCAGCUCGCCCUAGCGACCAAAUUCGUUUCGAUCAACCCCUCCCUCCUGGCGAAUGGUCACAAGUAAUUCGGGUCCUAAAAAAUACACAUCUCUACCCACUUGUUUUGUUUCUGACCGAAAAACUUUCAUGCUCGGUAAGAUACGCUUGACUAGUUGGGUCUAAUCCCACCAAACAAACCAUUUUUCCUUUCGAGGGGCCUUCAAGCAGAGGUGACAGUAUAUCACGUAAUGGCUAUGAAAUAUAUAUAUAUUAACAAAUACACCCAAAAGGCAUCUUAAGUUUUAUUAAUAUCAAGAAAAGCAUAUGUAAAACAACAAGUAAAAAUAAAAUUACAUUAAAAAGUAUACUCGUCUUCUUAUUGUACGCCGCCCGCCGAAGACUAGAAAUUGCAUUGAACCAACAGCAAAGAAAAGCAAUACGUACAAACACCCUCAUCGUACCAGACUUUAAACAUCGCAAUAGUCACUCGCUCCUUGAGACAAGAUAUAAGAAAUCGCUAAAAACAGCAUCGGUUGAAGCAUCAUUCACGCAGAACAGAUUUACAAUUCACCACCAUUAAUUUAGAGGGUUGGAUAAACCGAAUAAGCCACAGACCAACAGAGAAGAUGUCAAAGUCACUACAUGUCAAAAUUGCCACACCAAAAAAUAGUCAAAAGCUCUUCUUAUAAAACACACAAAUACCGAAAAUCUGAAGGGAACCAAUGUGGACACAAACUCUCACAAACACACGAACGUCCAAAAUCUAAAGGGAACCAAUGCGGAUACAAACUCUUACACGCCCUUCGUCGGUAGCCGAUCUGACAUUGUAAGUCAAGGAAAGACCUUAUUCUAACAUGCCGACACCACCACCUCAUCGAUGUCACCGAAGAAGCAAAACAUAAGAAUAAUAAAACGACACGGGUUAAGGUGGCAACUGUUGCGGCUAGGUUUGGGAGGCGGCGGCGACUGUAGCAACUACGCGAGAUCACGUGCUGGAUGAACAACCCCACGAGACGGUUAUGGAAUAUUCACCAUCGUCACUCAGGCUCAGCCAGAGGCCAGCAAGGGAAGCAAACUCACCCGAAACAAGUGUGAUGUAGCUACAAUGUUGUCUUCUAUGAGUAUAUACAUGGUGGGAUACUAGAUGCAAACAGAUACAUCACAUUACAUUAUAUUAUAACUGAGCACUAUUCCAGCCCUCUCAGACCAUUAGUGCUUUUGACUGUCAGAUUUGCACUCCUAAACGUUUUUGGCCGUUUGAUCAAAGUCUUAGCACCGGAAUGGGCAGCUGCUCCCACAACAAAAUUGAAGGCACUUGGUUAACUGGGCCUGAUUCUGGCUUGAAGCGAAGCCCAUUUAGGCCUCACGUGGAACACGAACCAUCCCUUCGUUCCGAGUUCUACGGAAUUCUCUCACAACACGCCCAUCCCUAACCGCGCUUGGCAGCAGCGGCGACGGCGAAACGGCCCCCCUCCAGGAUCCAGGUGAGCUCUUUCUCUCUCUCCAUUGCAGCGCUGGCGAACAAGACCGCAGAUCAGGACCGCAACCCCCUUCCUCAUCACAGUGGCGCGCGUCCUCCUCUCAUGACCAAGGCAAAAAACCAAUCUUGUAUGCAAGCAGGUCGUCAGUUCGUCACACCACCGCAUCCGAAUGUCCGCAGAUUCCUCCAUCUGUUUUUUUAGAUCCAUCUGGUUGUUGUGUAGAUAAGUAUGCGAGCAAGUCAUCUGUUCGUCACACCACCGCAUCCAAAAUGUCUGCAGAUUCCUCUAUCUGGUUGUUGUGUUGAUAAGAAAAGUAAGAUAGCCUACAGGUUCGGAUAUUAAAUCCAGUGAUUCAUCAAUAUACUUUUAGGACGGAAGAUAAGUAAAGCAAUAUUAUUAUUAUAUUCUCCACCUAAUUUCCAUCUGCCUGCAAUCUGAUUGCUAUAUACACGUACUGCUGAAUUUUGUAAGUUGAGCAUACUUGCAUACUCGAAAGAUUGAAACCUCGGUUUAUUCAUGGUACAGGAUAUCAAUUUGCAUUAGUACUAUCUAUGCGUAUGUUCUAUGAGAAGCUGGUCAGUAUGUUUCCUUGAUAUUCUAUCUCUGAUGUGUACUUAAAUAAUUUACUUGGUAAUAUUCCCCUUUUAAGAUCAAAAGUGUGCACUUACAUUAGGGGAAAAUAUGUCUGUAGCUUCAAUUUAGAUAAAGCAGUCUCACAUGAAGUCUCCCGUUUAUUUAAUUACAAACUCCAAUAACAUUCCUCUAAUACAGUGUGCAGCAAUUGGACUAAAAUUGCUACAAGAAAAGGGAUGUGCACUGAGAAGCGAUAUAUUUUAGUUGUCUAAGAAGUAGAGGUAAUACAUAUGCAUCUUCUACCAGUCAAGGUCUUCUUUACGCUGGUUUUACCCGCUUCAUAUAAUUUCCUCGAUCUCAAUUCUUGAAUUUUGGCACAAAUUUUAAAAGAAAUAGUAAAAAUGAUGCAUGGAAAUUUCAGAGUGAAAAAUAAAGACAGUAUGAAACAUGAAGAACUACCACAAAAAUUGUACACCAGGGAGAUGGAAAACAUGCUACUCCUUUAUAUCCAGUUUAUGCAUGGUGAAUUCCUAUCUUUGUCUAUAUUUAUUUACCAUACCCUGAUCAUAGACCUGUACUUCACUUUGCGUUUUAUUCCAUGUGGUUAAUUUGUACUCCCUCUGUAAACUAAUAUAAGAGUGUUUAGAUCACUAAAGUAGUGAUCUAAACGCUCCUAUAUUAGUUUACGGAGGGAGUACCCAACAACGAUGAUGUGUUCUGUAAAGGAUUUUCUUCACAUUUAAUGGUUUUUGAAGAUUUGGUCUGUUCCACAUGAUACAAGCUAGCACUCACAUUGUUUGAAUGCAUCGAGCCUUGGAUUGAGGAAGUGAGUUCUCAAUAUUUCCAGUUGUGCAUGACUGAGCAUAUAUAUUACAAUCUAGACUUACUGAAUAUUUUUGUGAGCUUGCAACUCUAUCAUGAUCAAAACCCUUGUUGCCUACAACUGGAGAAUGCUAGGUCCAAUGCUUGCAUAUCCAACAUACUAUAUGUACCACAGGCUCACUAUUUGUAACGCCCCGAGCCCGAUGUGCCAGGUGUCCUCCAGUUUUUUGCUGUUGUUGCCUUGUCAUUGUUUGCGUGUCAUGCAUUGCAUAUCAUGUGCAUCGCAUUUGCAUACAUGUUCGUCUCAUGCAUCUGAGCAUUUUUCCCGUUGUCCGUUUUGCAAUCCGGCGCUCCUAUGUCUCCCGGUGUCCCUUUCUACCUCUUUUCGUGUGCGAGCGGUAAACAUUUUCGGAUUGGACCGAAACUUGUCAUGCGGCCUUGGUUUACUACCGGUAGACCGCCUGUCAAGUUUCGUGUCAUUUGGACUUCGUUUGAUACUCCAACGGUUAACCGGGUAGCCGCAAAGGCCUAUUUUUGUGUGCAGCCUAACACCCCUCCAAAGUGGCCCAAAACACACUUAAACCCCCUCCAUCAUCUCGAUCGUUCGAUCACGAUCGCGUGGCCGAAAACCGCACCUUAUUUGGACUCUCCUAGCUCCCUCUACCUAUAAAUAUGUGCUCUCCUCCGAAAUCUCUCGCAGAUGAAACCCCAAAAAUUUCCCCGCACGCCGCUGGACAUGUCCACCGCCGCCAACCACCUCGCUCCGGCAAAUCAGACGCCGCCACGUCGCCUUCGCCGCCGCUCUCCUCCAACUCCCGCGCGCCACGUCGCCUCCCGCCGGACCUCCUCUCUCCUCUGGCGCCGCGGGCCCGCGCGGCCCAGAUUCGGCCCGCGGGGCCCGAACCUCGGGCCCCUCUUCCUCGGCGACCUCGGGCCCCUCUUCCGCAACUCCGGCGUCCCAAGCUGCAACUCCGGCGAGCUCCCUCCGGCGAACUUCGAGAUCCGGAUGCUACAGUAACCGCCAGAUCCGAUCUGAGAACCCGGUUGACUUUCUUCCCGAAACCCUAGCAUUUUUGCAUACUUUGUCGCAUCAUAACUUCCUCAUCGUGGCUUUGAUUUGUGCGUGUAGCAUAUCAAAAUGUUCGUCUCGACGAGUACAUCAUUUCAUCUCAUUGCAUAACUUUUAUUUGAGCUCAUCUUGAUGGCCGAAAUGCUGUUGGAAGAGGGCUAUGUGAUGAUUAUGUCAGAUCUGUUUCAGCAAGUGCACUUUUGUCAUUUUUAUCAUGAUUAAUGUGUGCAUGCUAUGAUCCUGAGCUCUACAUGUGUUUUGAAGAAUGUCAUGCCAUCUUUACAGGGGUAUAUGCCAUGUAUUUUUGUGAUUUUUGUGGUGACUAGCACAAGCAUGCAAAAUAGCUUACUCAAUGUUGCUGAUUUCAGGGACUUAGAAUUUCACCAAGUCCUUGCCCUGUCAUUAUUUUUAUGCCAUAUGUUCAUGUUGUUUUCUAGUGAUUCGUGCCUAUUUUGAGCAUGAUCAGUAAGGAUGUUUUGUAUCUAAUGUUGUGCUCUAUCCAUUCAUGUCUUUGUUUGCAAUUAUGGAGAACCCUAGCUUGAGUCAAUCGAGCUCUACUUUUGCUAUAAAAUGUUCCUGGCAGAUUGUUAACAUGUUUAGCAAUUUUGCCGAGCUUGUUGUUGUUGAUCCAUGCAUGAUAUGUUGUUGUUCUUGCCAUGUCUAGCUUCUAUGACAUGUCUACUUGCUGGGUGUAUGCUUAGAGUAUCAUUCCAUGCUUUGUAGUGAGUGCAUCGAGCUCGUAAACAUGCCUACUUGUUAACUGUUUUGCAUGCUCCAGUUUUUUACCAAGUCUGAAUCUGUUUAUAUUUUUGCUAUGUUCACAUGCUUGCAAUUGUAUUUUAUGAUCUCUUUUGGCUCAUGGUCACUAAGGGACUUUUGUUAUAUGCUUUGAGUAGCUUCAUGCCAUGCCUUGUCUUGCCAUGAUAUAUUCCUGUAGCAUAUAGUUAUCGUGCUCUAAACAUUGCUUCCUGAUGAUUAAUUCCUGACAUGUUUAUUUCACUAAGUCUGAAACCUGUUAUCAUUUGCACUUUUGUCAUGCUUGUUUGAACCUGCUAUUGAGUGAAUUAGCCGUAGCUCAGUGUUCAUCUUUUGUUAAGCAUCUUGAGUGGAUCCCUAUCAUGUAUUUUGUUGCUAUGUUUGGGUGCAGUAGCAUGUUGUUCUUGUUGCAUUUAGAUGGCUACUUGCUGUUAAUCGCAGACCGGUGUCAUAUUUGUUUUGCUUGCCAUUUCCAAACCGUGCAUCUGAUUCCGGCGAUCUUUAUAUCGAUUUCGACCGAAAUCACCUCACCUUUCCAGUGGCACUCUUGGAUUUCCAAGUUGAGGCCAGGUUCAAUCAUUCCUUUUCAAAUCAUGCAUAAGCAUCACAUAUCGCAUCCCGCAUAUCAUGCCAUGUCCAUGUGUGGUUUGUUUACUAUGUUGUGUGUUUCUUUCCGGUGUUGCUUCUUCGGGUUGGUUCCGAUAACAUCGUGUUUGUGAGGACCCGUUCGACUACGUCCGUUUGUCUUCUUCAUGGACUCGUUCUUCUUCCUUGCGGGAUUUCAGGCAAGAUGACCAUACCCUCGAAAUCACUUCUAUCUUUACUUGCUAGAUGCUUGCUCUUUUGCUAUGCCUAUGCUGCGAUACCUACCACUUGCUUAUCAUGCCUCCCAUAUUGUUAAGCCAAGCCUCUAACCCACCUUGUCCUAGCAAACCGUUGUUUGGCUAUGUUACUGCUUUGCUCAACCCCUCUUAUAGCGUUGUUAGUUGCAGGUGAAGCUUGGAGCUUGUUCCAUGUUUGGAACAUGGUUAUUUUGUUGCGAUAUCACAAUAUAUCUUAUUUACUUAAUGCAUCUAUAUACUUGGUAAAGGGUGGAAGGCUCGGCCUUAUGCCUGGUGUUUUGUUCCACUCUUGUCGCCCUAGUUUCCGUCAUAUCGGUGUUAUGUUCCCGGAUUUUGCGUUCCUUACACGGUUGGGUUAUAAUGGGAACCCCUUGAUAGUUCUCCUUGAAUAAACGACUCCAGUAAGGCCCAACAUUGGUUUUACCAUUCGCCACCUAGGCUCUUUUUCCCUUGCGUUAGGCCAGCCCAAGGGUCAUCUUUAUUUUAACCCCCCCUCCCCGGGCCAGUGCCUGUCUAAGUGUUGGUCCAAACUGAGCGAUGUCCGGAGCUACCAGGGGCAACUCUGGGCUGGCCCACCUGACGUCUUGCUCAUCCGGUGUGCCCUGAGAACGAGAUAUGUGCAGCUCCUAUCGGGAUUUGUCGGCACAUCUGGGUGGUCUUGCUGGAUUUGUUUUACCAUUGUCGAGGAUGUCUUGUAACCGGGAUGCCGAGUCUGAUCGGAUUGUCUUGGGAGAAGGAAUAUCCUUCGUUGACCGUGAGAGCUUGUGAUGGGCUAAGUUGGGACACCCCUGCAGGGAUUUAAACUUUCGAAAGCCGUGCCCGCGGUUAUGGGCAGAUGGGAAUUUGUUAAUGUCCAGUUGUAGAAAACCUGAAACUUAUCUUAAGUAAAAUUCAUCAACCGUGUGUGUGGCCGUGAUGGUCUCUUUCCGGCGGAGUCCGGGAAGUGAACACGGUGUUAGAGUAAUGCUUGAUGUAGGUUGUUCUAGGAUCACUUCUUGAUCAUAGUUUCUCGAACGUGCUUUGCCUUCUCUUCUCGCUCUCAUUUGCGUAUGUUAGCCACCAACUAUGCUAGUCGCUUGCUGCAGCUCCACCUCAUACCUUUCACCCUACCUAUAAGAUUAAAUAGUUUUGAUCGCGAGGGUGUGAGAUUGCUGAGUCCCCGUGACUCACAGAUACUUCCAAAACUAGUUUGCAGGUGCCGAUGUUAUCGAGCAGGUGACGCAACCAAGCUCAAGGAGGAACUUGAUGAAGAUCUUGCCCUUUGUGUUGUUUCUCUUCCUUUUGAUCAGUGGUGGAGCCCAGUUGGGACGAUCGGGGAUCUGUGUAGCUUUUGGGAGUCUUCUUUUAUUUUGGUUCCGUAGUCGGACCUUGAUUGUAUCUGGAUGAUGUAAUGCUUUAUUCAUGUAUUGUGUGAAGUGGCGAUUGUAAGUCAACUAUGUGUCUCUUUCCUUUAUGUAUUACAUGGGUUGUGUGAAAAUUACCUCACUUGCGACAUUGCUUUCAAUGCGGUUAUACCUCCAAGUCGUGCUUCGACACGUGGGAGAUAUAGCCACAUCGAGGGUGUUACAAUAUUCCUCUCGUUGAGUAGUGCGACGUAUCACCACCUUCAAACAUAGAUUUGAAAAACCAUCAAUUGUUAAACUGCCAAUUAGAUGCCUCAUUAAAAAUGUCCUCGAGCCGCCAAAACUACAACCCAAUGACAGGUAUAUAAUUGCAUAAAUGAUGACUUAUGUGCUCACGUUUUUGACACUCAGGGAGAUCGUUUGAGGCUGAUUGUACAUUGCAUGUGGGGAGCUUACAUAUUAGAAGCUAAUAUUUUUUAUCAAAUGAUACUCAUUUUUUUACGCAACAUCAAGUGGCUGGUUUGCGAUCUUCAGCGUUUACUUUAGGUAUCUCUAAUUUAUAAAAUCAGGUAAAGUUCUUUUGAAAGAAAACUAUGAUGGUGGUCAUUUAUCUUAACUUUUUUUACGAACUAUAUCUCAAUAUAUUCUUAUAUGUUUUAAAGUAGGUACCUAAUUUUGCUCCACCAUUAGCAUGUGGGAGUUAUCAUAAUUAUCAUGGACACAUACAUGCAUGCACAUGCACUGAAAACUACUCCAUCCAUUCCUAAAUAUAGGCCUUUUUAGAGAUUUGAAUAUGGACCACAUAUGGAAUAUAUACGUAUUUUAGAGUGUAGAUUCACUCAUUUUGCUUCGUAUGUAGUCCAUAUUAGAACAUUUAAAAGACUUAUAUUUAGAAAGGGAGGGACUAAUCAAUUUAGGCAAUUCUCAUUUGAUACACAGGUUUUAUUUUCCCUACUUCAAAGAUAUAGUAAUAAGGACAGUUCCAUAAUCAUACUCAAUGUAGUAUUCUCAAUUGAUAGAUGGUGUUCUCUUACUUAUAUUAGGAAAUCCCCUCCUUGGGUAGUGUGGUGUUCUCCAAUGUAAAAUGAGCUUAUUAGGGAUGAUAGAUUACUCAUAUCAAUACAGAAUUUCUUCUUUUGCGGAAGCUCAUUUGGACAGAACUCCAAAUUAAGCGUGCUCAGCUUGGAGUAAUUUCAAGAUGGGUAACCGACCGGGAAGUUGCUUCCAGGUGCGCACGAGUGAGGACAAAGUACGCAGAGAAGACUAGUAUUGAUCUGUGGGGCCGGUCUAGACCCCGCCAGGAGUAACGACCACCGGCGGGUGUGUCCGGGGCGUUACAAGUUGGUAUCAGAGCCGACCCUCACGGUUACACGGAUGUUUGCGGACAGGUGCGCGGUCAUGUUGUUCAUGACGUUUGUGACCCGUCGUGACACCCGGCAUGGAACAUGUACCAGACUGGAUGCACAGACGUAUGUGCCAAGAGGGAACAUUCCUGUGGGCCGACGAGGACGUCGGUUUCUCUGAAUGGGGGUGUAUGUAAUAGUCUAGCUUAUUAGGGAUGAUAUACUACUCAUAUCAAUAAGGAAUUUCUUCUUUUUCGGGAGCCCAUUCAGACAAAACUCCAAAGUUAAGCGUGCUCAGCUUAGUAAUUUCGACCGAAAAGUUGCUCCCGGAUGCGCACGAGUAAGGACAAAGUGCACAGAAAAAACUAGUAUUAAUCUGUAGGGCCAGUCUAGACCACCGACGGGUGUGUCCGGAGCGUUACAAGUAAGGGCUUUCUACACCCCACCUGCAGUUCAUAAAACCUUAUAUGUACUGGAGGAGCUUUGGCGAGUCCCAUAUACUCAGGAUUCUUGUUUUGGCUAUUUAUGUGUGUUGAUUUGUAUUAUUUUUUUUUGUUUGAUGUGCAAAUAAAUGACGUGUUCUUGCAUAUGUAGACAUGCUUUCUUAUGCUAUAAAGCAUGGAUUAGUUGUAACAGUUAACACAAUUUGAGGAACAUAAUCUGAAAUAAAUCUGAUUUGCAACCUUUCCUUUUAGAUUUGCUGGUAGAAACAAUCCUGAUAUGAACAUGAAGAAAUAGCCACUUAUGGAAAUAAGCAGCAUGUUCUUCUGGGGUGGAUAAAAUAAACAUACAUAUUUCCUGCCAAUAUAUACGAGUGAACAUGACUAUCAUUCUAUCGGAAAAAUAGACGGGCACGGCAACGCACGCCGUCAAUGAUCUAGUAGAUCGGAAAAGCACACCAUAUUGCUGCAACAACGACCAGAGUCAUCAGCAAGUUAAAUUGUUGUCAUAGAUAUCGCCAGAUUAUGAUAUAUAGAGGUCUCCUUUAAGUCGAAAAUACGACAGUACGUACUCGAUAACGCAUUCAACAGCUCCUAAGGCUAAGUUCCAGCUAAGUCAAACACAAAACAAAACAGUCUCGAAAGGGUCACAUGACUACACCCUUCAGACACCCACAGCCUCUGCAGACAACGAUUCAUCAGGACCCACCAAAGCCAACCAAGGCCUCAG
rnacentral:lncRNA from 1 species